rnacentral:lncRNA from 1 species
GGGCAACUGUAGCCUGUUGUUCCCGCAGGAUUUUCAGGUCAGUUGGAAGAGUCUGCAGAGUAAAUAUGGGAGUUUCUUCAUUUCCGGACACUCUUCUUUCCACUUCCUGUGGUUCUCUUGCAGCUUGUUUUGCAGCCUGAUCAGCUAGAUGGUUGCCCUUUGCUUCAUCUGAGUCCAACUUCCCAUGUGCUUUUAUCUUCAAAAUAGCCACUUCUUCUGGGAGUAGGAGGGCGUCCA